CCAAAGGUCCUUUUAAGGACCACCCAAAUCCUUCAAAAAGAUAUGU
rnacentral:ncRNA from 1 species